AUUGAACGCUAGCGGGAUGCUUUACACAUGCAAGUCGAACGAGUGGCGGGCGGGUGAGUAAUAUAUCGGAACGCGCCCAGUAGCGGGGGAUAACUACUCGAAAGAGUGGCUAAUACCGCAUACUAUGGGAGCGCCCGAUAUCGGAUUAGCUAGUUGGUGGGUUAAAGGCUCACCAAGGCAACGAUCCGUAGCUGGUGUGAGAGGACGACCAGCCACACUGGGACUGAGACACGGCCCAGACUCCUACGGGAGGCAGCAGUGGGGAAUUUUGGACAAUGGGGGCAAGCCUGAUGCAGCCAUCCCGCGUGUAUGAGAAGGCCUUCGGGUUGUAAAGUACUUUUGGCAGAGAAGCGUUAGCGGCAGAAUAAGCACCGGCUAACUACGUGCCAGCAGCCGCGGUAAUAC
rnacentral:rRNA from 1 species